rnacentral:ncRNA from 1 species
UUUUCAUGUGUCCGUGGUUGAAAGUCGAUGCCAGUCGCAGGCGAAACGAUCCACGUAAGCCGGGAAAAUUCCGGUGAGCAUGGUGCGGCUUAGAGGUAAGUCCUGCCAGCGCCUCGGCGCUGAGAGGGUCAGUAGUGGGGAGGCAGAGGCCUUAUGAGCGAACGCUCCGGCAGGCGAGUGUGGGGUCAAAGACCAGGUCGGGCAUGAAAA